rnacentral:rRNA from 1 species
UACGUAGGGUGCAAGCGUUGUCCGGAAUUAUUGGGCGUAAAGAGCUCGUAGGCGGUCUGUCGCGUCUGCUGUGAAAACUCGGGGCUUAACCCCGGGCCUGCAGUGGGUACGGGCAGACUAGAGUGCGGUAGGGGAGACUGGAAUUCCUGGUGUAGCGGUGAAAUGCGCAGAUAUCUGGAGGAACACCGGUGGCGAAAGCGACUCACUGGACCGACACUGACGCUGAGGUGCGAAAGCUAGGGUAGCAAACGGG